UAAACUAUACUCAACUCCAAUACUACUCAAUCAUACAUGAGUUAAAAGGUCCAAACCAAAUAUUCCCACAUCUCAACCUAAUUCUUCACCUAAUAUACUACACUAUCUUAACCUAAUUUUAUGAUUUUUAGUCUAAUGAGUAGCAUUACACAAUUGAAAUACCUUCGAAAAUAUGUGUUCAUCUUUAUAGCAGAGAAGUCAUCACACAUGGAGUUCAAGAUAAAAGACAUCACCUUCAGCAACCCUUAUGGACCGAUCGAAACUCAACCUCAAAUUCCAUAGACUUCAAGUAAAUACGAUUAUCAUACUUAUGUUUUUUUCUUUAAAUAUCUAUAUUUUAAAGAUUUACUAUAUAUCUUUUGAAAUGCAUGAUCACUUCAUUAAAAAAAAAGAGUACAAAAUUUAUGUAUUUAUGUACAUGCAUUAUAUUAUCUACUAUUCAUUUGAAUUAUUUUUUUGAAAAGUCAAUAAUAAUUAAAUAUCAAUGGUAGAUGAUAUAAUAAUAAUGUAUAAAAUUCAUAUAUUAUUAGUGUAUGUAUCUUUUUCUCUAAAUUUUUUUUAACUUCAUUAACUACCUUGGAAUAAACACAUGUUUCAUCCUAUAAUUUGUUAAGUUUUCAACCGCCCCCACUAUCACAUGGAAUGUUUGUCUGUAUUCAAUUAUUCAACUUAAGUUGUAUUGUAUAUAGCAUAGCUGUAUUCUAGAUGCAUGCAAAUAAACAAUAGGUACAAAAGUGUUAUUCUUAACAAUCUCAAGAUCUAAACAUAUGUUCACAAUACACCUUAAUCUUAAGGUUGAAAUGCAUAAAACUUAAUUGUCACAAACUUUUGACCAAUUACUCAGAAAAUAUAAUCAUUAGUGAAAGUCAAAGAAAGAUGUUGAUGAAGGAAGAGAAUGAUAUGAUAUUUCAUAUCACUUUUGUCACCCUUAUGAAAUGGAUUCCUCCCCAUGGGAAUAUGAGGGAGACAAUUUUUAAAAAUAUUUAAUUCAAAAAAAAAAUUUGAAUGUUUGAGUUGCUGUACGUUCGAAUCUGAUCUAUGCAAUGACAUCUUCAGUAUUGGAGAAGAGUUGGACUCUAUUUCAUAUUAAUAUCAAUUUCUAUAAAGUGUAAAUGAAAAAUAAUAUUGGAAAAAAGGGUGAGGAAUUAUCAUAUUUUCCAAAAAGGAGAAGGGCAAAUGGGAGAAUAAAAUGAAGUGCUAAUGGAAUUUAAGAUAAUAUUGAGGAGGCUGCUUUUAUACAAUAAAUUAAGUGUCUUAUUCCUGUCAUAUAUAAAAAUUACAUUGCUAAUAUAAUUAAUAAAUUCAUUUCUGUAAAUUGUAUAGCUCAGGUGGAAUUAUUCAGCUGAGGAACAAUAUUGAUGUACAUAAUUGCUAACAAACAAUAUUAAUGACAAG
rnacentral:lncRNA from 1 species